AUCCUUUUGUAGUUCAUAAGCGUGAUGAUUGGGUGUUCACACCGUUGUGUGACAUGUGCCUCCCUCAAACCUUGUUAUGACCUCGGCACAUUACCCGUCUGACA
ensembl:snoRNA